rnacentral:rRNA from 1 species
ACGGGUGAGUAACGCGUGGGAAUCUACCCAUCUCUACGGAAUAACGCAUGGAAACGUGUGCUAAUACCGUAUACGUCCUUCGGGAGAAAGAUUUAUCGGAGAUGGAUGAGCCCGCGUUGGAUUAGCUAGUUGGUGGGGUAAAGGCCUACCAAGGCGACGAUCCAUAGCUGGUCUGAGAGGAUGAUCAGCCACACUGGGACUGAGACACGGCCCAGACUCCUACGGGAGGCAGCAGUGGGGAAUAUUGGACAAUGGGCGCAAGCCUGAUCCAGCCAUGCCGCGUGAGUGAUGAAGGCCCUAGGGUUGUAAAGCUCUUUCACCGGUGAAGAUAAUGACGGUAACCGGAGAAGAAGCCCCGGCUAACUUCGUGCCAGCAGCCGCGGUAAUACGAAGGGGGCUAGCGUUGUUCGGGUUUACUGGGCGUAAAGCGCACGUAGGCGGACUAUUAAGUCAGGGGUGAAAUCCCGGGGCUCAACCCCGGAACUGCCUUUGAUACUGGUAGUCUUGAGUUCGAGAGAGGUGAGUGGAAUUCCGAGUGUAGAGGUGAAAUUCGUAGA